UAAAUUAAGGUACAGAGAUUUAUUGAAUCCUAGCUUGGUCAAUAAGUGCUUCUCUAGUUAAAAAAAUAAUGUUUAUUCCCUUCCUUUUCUCCUUCCUGUUUCUUACUUCUGUGGGAAAUUUUCUCCAAUUCACUGAGGUAUGCUUUUUUGAAUAAUUUUGAGUUAUGUCUAAAUCAGCAUUUAAAUCCUUUAUUGCUCUUUUAGCCAGCUACACUUCCUUCAUUCAGAUAUACGACAACCUGUUUUAUUACUAACUGUAAGACACACUGAUUACUAAACUUGUCUUCCAGAACAAAUUUUUUUUGCUUUUUUUUUUACUAUAAUCUGCAUACACGAAACCACAUGAUUUAUGUCACAAUUGAGGAAAAACAUAUGAACACAUGUAUAACUGAAAACUAAGUGUUAUGAAACCAAACCCAUUGUUAAAGCUUAGUUUGGCAUGUUUUAUUUUCUCUUCUUAUUCUUCUGUUUUAGAAAAUAAUAGUCACAAGCCUCAAGGUUGAUUUGAUGAACUUUGAAGUUUUUUUUUAAAUGCUGCAUUUCUUGAUUUUAUUUGAAACUGAAUUUUUUUUUAGCAUCUUAUGGUAAGACUUUACAGGUGUCAUUUACACAAAUUAUAAGGUUCUGAUUCAAGUCCUUUUAAAAAAAAAUUCCAAAACUUAAACCCAUUUAUAACAAAAGAAUAGGAAAAACUAUAUUAUACCCAUUUUAAUGAAACAAGACAUAAAAGUCUGGCAUGGAGUUUUAGAUAAAUACAAGAAACUUCAAACUAGACACAAAGUAUUAACAUCAUUCUUAAAUACAUUUGCACUUUUGUGUUGUACUUCUCUGAUAUGUGAUACAAAGUUCCUAAGAGCUUUUACAUUUUAUUUUUUCAAAGGAAAACUGAAAACGUUCUUGCAAAUGAAAUUUGUUGGGUUAUUAUUAUUAUUUUUUUAAAUAACUGUUGGAAUCCAAAGGCUUACUGUGGUCAGAGGCAGAAGCCUAGUGGUCAGCACUCAUGAAAUGUCCUCUCCAGGGCCCCAUUCUGUAUACCUGGCAGUGUGAAGGAGAGAAAAUACAUCUUUAGCCCCUGUGUACUUUGCUUGGGAAGCUGUAUUCUCUCUCUGUUAACAGAGUCUGGCAAAGCUAUGUUAGUUACAGCUACUAUCCAGUUCCUAUGUGCCCUGCUUAGAAUAUUUCUAUAUCUUCUUGUCAUUAUUCCCUAAACACUGUAGUAUAAUAACUAUUAACAAGGUGUUUCCAUUUUAUGGGAGUGAUAUAGAGGUGUUAGCACACAUAGAUUAUAUGCAAGCAUGAUGCUGAUACUGUUUUAUAUAACAGACUUGACUACAUGAGGAUUUGGGCUUGGUAGGGGUGUUUGUCCUGGAACCAAUUCCCCACAGAUAAUGAGGCUUGACUGUAUGUGACUUUUGGACUUCUCAACAUUAUGUAAUGGUUCAGCAUUGGGUUUUAGAAUAAGAAUCGAUUUCUCAUCAAAUAGUCAAAAGCCAGAGGUUUUGUUUGAUUUCCUCUAGGUUACUGGGUAAAAGGUAAGUAGGGGAAAAGUAAUUAUCACAGACAAGGGCAAGAGGCUUCUUUAGUUCAUGAACUUGGACCCAUAGUCACUGGUCUUAACAAUAUGCCUUUU